CGUGUAGGCGGUCAGGUAAGUGGAAUGUGAAAUGCCCCGGCUCACCCGGGGACCGGCAUCCCAAACUGCCUGGCUUGAGUACGGGAGAGGAUGGAGGAAUUCCUGGUGUAGCGGUGAAAUGCGUAGAUAUCAGGAGGAACACCGGUGGCGAAGGCGUCCAUCUGGCCCAAUACUGACGCUGAGGCGCGAAAGCUAGGGGGAGCAAACG
rnacentral:rRNA from 1 species